UGGACGGAUCAAUGGUGUACCAAUUAUGCCGCCAGGCGUACCGUUGGGUAGCUACAUCCGGGCAGGAUAAACGCUGAAAGCAUCUAAGCGUGAAACCAACCCCAAGAUGAGAUCUCUCAUGGCGUAAGCCAGUAAGACGCCUUGAAGAAGACAAGGUUGAUAGGCCGGGAGUGUAAGUGCAGCAAUGUAUUGAGCGGACCGGUACUAAUCCGUCGAGGGCUUGAUUUAA
rnacentral:rRNA from 1 species